AUGCUGGCUGAGAUCUUUUGGCACGGCACCCAGUGUGCCCAUCACCACCGGGACCACCUGCACUGGUUUCUGCCAGAGUCUUUGAAAUUCAAUCUUGAGGUCCUGAUAGCAGCUGAGUUUUUCCUGUUGUUUUUCGUCAAUGCGACUGUCACCUGGGAUGGCAACAUCAAUGAUCCAAACCUUUUUCUUUUCAGACUGACAAAGUUCUGGAACACAACACACCAGACAUCACAGUUGUGGAAAAGAAAAAGGUUUUGGAUCAUUUAAUUUUUGUAUAUUUUUUAUCAUGUUUUAAUUGUUUGUUUUAUAGUAUACUAGCUGUGCCCGGCCACGCGUUGCUGUGGCGAAGUCUGGUGGUAUGGGAAAUAAAGUAUUGAGGAAUUGGUGGUAGUUAAGGUCAAGGGUAAAGGUUUUCCCCAGACAUUAAGUCCAGUCGUGUCUGACUCUGGAGGUUGGUGCUCAUCUCCAUUUCUAAGCCGAAGAGCCGGCGUUCUCCGUAGACUCCUCCAAAGUCAUAUGGGAUGACUGCAUGGAGCGGCGUUACCUUCCCGCCGGAGCAGUACCUAUUGAUGCACUCACAUUUGCAUGUUUUUGAACUUCUGGGUUGGCAGAAGCUGGGGCUAACAGUGGGGGCUCUCUCCACUCCCCCAAUUCAAACCUGUGGCCUUUCAGUCCAGAAGUUCAGCAGCUCUUCGGCUUAGAAAUGGAGAUGAGCACCAACCUCCAGAGCUUUAACACGCUGCGCCAUCAGGGGAUAUUAUUUCCUAAAGGUUGUGAAUAUACAAUAUUUCUGAUUGGGUUUUUUUGUUUGUUGGAGGCAAGUAUGAAUGCUGCAAUUAGGAAAAAUGAUUAGGAUGUAAUGGCCUUGCAGCUUUAAAGCCUGGCUGUUUCCUCCCUGAGUGAAUUUUUUGUUGGGAGGUGUUAGCUGGCCCUGAUGGUUUCCUGUCUGGAAUUCCCUUGUUUUCAGAGUGGUGUUGUUUGCGAUAUUUUAUGUGCUUCUACUGUCUGUGGCCCUGAGAAAACAGAGGAUUUUCCAGACUUUGAUGAUGGGAAUACUUUGUUGGGAGGUGUUAGCUGGCCCUGAUUGUUUCCUGUGUGGAAUUCCCCUGUUUAUUUACUGUCCUGGUUUUAGAGAUUAUAUUGUUCUGCAUUAUUUUAUCCCAGUAAUUAUUUCAUAUUAAAGAAGAAUCUCACUU
rnacentral:lncRNA from 1 species